rnacentral:rRNA from 1 species
UGGGGAAUUUUGGACAAUGGGCGCAAGCCUGAUCCAGCAAUGCCGCGUGAGUGAAGAAGGCCUUCGGGUUGUAAAGCUCUUUCAGUUGAGAAGAAAAGAACGUGAAUAAUACGCGCGUUUUAUGACGGUAUCAACAGAAGAAGCACCGGCUAACUACGUGCCAGCAGCCGCGGUAAUACGUAGGGUGCGAGCGUUAAUCGGAAUUACUGGGCGUAAAGGGUGCGCAGGCGGUUCUGAAAGUCAGAUGUGAAAUCCCUGGGCUUAACCUAGGAAUUGCGUUUGAAACUACAGGACUAGAGUGUGACAGAGGGGGGUGGAAUUCCAUGUGUAGCAGUGAAAUGCGUAGAGAUAUGGAAGAACAUCGAUGGCGAAGGCAACCCCCUGGGUUAACACUGACGCUCAGGCACGAAAGCGUGGGGAGCAAACA